AUGAGACUUGGAGGCAAGGACACCAAACCAGGGGUUUUAGCUCCUACCCAUGGUACUGGAGGAGCAGUGAAAUGGAAUUGCCUGAAGAAAGAUGGAAAUACUGAGGUUCCAAAAAUGAAGAAAAGAACUGCAUUAAACUCAAGGAACUGAGUAUUUUGGGGACACAUUGCAAGAUUCAAAAAUUGGAAAAGGUCUUCUAGGAAUUACUUCUAUUAGAGGAGAAAUGAGUUCAAGGUCAAUGGCCUCUCAACAUAUUACUGGGAGCUAAGAACGAUCAGACCUGACAUUUACUGCAGGCCUACACAUUGUUCCAGAGCUAGCAAGCGUUCCUGAAGCAUUCGGAAUUGUCUGAUUUCACCAGAUGAAUAAUCCCUGAGGGACACCAUGGAUCCUGCUGGUCUAGGAUUGGCUCCAGCUUUUUCUGGAUCUGCAUUUGCUGUGCAACCCUGCUCGGCGGCUGAGAGAUGCUCUGGAGCUGUCUAGGCUAAACAGUCAUAAGAUUUUGACCCAAUGGUGAAUAGAGAGACAUCACAAAGGACACUAUACAUACUAAGUAGAUUUAAUAUGUCAGAGAAGAGGAAAACAGCAGAGACAACAAUACAUGGUCCAGGGUCUACUUGUACUCUGCAAGGGGUUGAGGCCUCAUCAGGAUUUCUUCAAAACCAUAUUGAGCAGCUGCAUAUUUACUUUAAACCAUUGUCUCCUCAUCUCUAGCCUACUCUUCAGUUCUCAAUCAGUAUGAUGACUCUUUUAGUCCCAAAAUUUUAUAGCUACCCAUCACA